UAAAAUAAAAAUAAAAAAGGAGAACUGACUCCUCACGUCCCUCAUCCAUUAAUUCCUCACGUAUCUCUCUCAGAAGGAUUCCCUCAAAAGACCAAAUCCCACAGAUUCCUCCAACCUCUGUCAUCAUUAAGAAAAUAAAAAAAAGUGGCUUGGCCUUUCAUCUUCACUUCAAACCACCACACCGCCAUCCACCUUCUUCACACGUUAACUCACCACACCUCUACAACGCUGACAAUAACCCAUCACCGUCCUCCACUGUCAAACAACCCACACUCCGGCGACACCCCACAACAACGGUCAACCUCCGCCACGUCGCCGUACCCAUCGCAUUUUCCAUCAUCUUCCUCGCCAUAAUCCUUGCCUAUUCACCACCUACAAUCUCUCCGGCGCCGGAAACGACGGCUAUCCACAACCACAUUCCGUAAAUCUCCAAUAGAUCCGACCGCUCAAAUCCCCGGUGACCUAACUCCACUUGUCGCACACCCACCAUCGCAACGACGCUGUCAAAAUGAUCCUCAUCAUUCUCCCUCAACUUCCGCCUCCGGUAACACCACUGUCUUCUUCCUGUUCAUAUCCCCGGUCCAGGAUCCGUGACUCAAGCCUCACGAUUGUCGCUACCGGGAUUUCACGAUAACGAAACCGGGACUGAAGAGAUGCUAAAGAGAGGCAAAGUCAGAAGAGUCGCCA
rnacentral:lncRNA from 1 species